rnacentral:misc_RNA from 1 species
ACACCCAUCAAGCCUGGCUUGGUAUUGGGCGACGGGACUUCCCCGCGCCCCGAUUUCGCCGGCUGGACGACCCCGAUCUCUCAAGCGUUGUACAAUCUCGCUGGUGGGAGGGGCGGCCACGCCGUUAACCUUAAUCAAUUCA